UUCAUGCUACUCUAUCUUUACUGCUUUAACUUUCUCUUUUCUAUAUUUUGAGUAUUGGUAGUGAGGUGCUUAAACAUAAAUUAGAGCUUGGCUUUGACUCAAUUGUAUAACGUAAGUGAAGGAAAACACAUGGAUUUUUAAGAAGGAGGUGAGGUAUAAUAGCUUAAAACUAUUAGAAUUUAGUUUUAAUAGUAAUUAAGCUAUUGUGUUAUUAUUUAUCGAGAAGAUGACAGAGAAGAAUCACUAACACCAGUGUAUAAUAUUAAAUUUGGGUGGGCGAAAGCCUGACUUAGCUGAGCUUAGAGUUCUGGUUAAACUUAGAGUGCCAGCAACUGCGGUUAGACCAGUAGGGCAAGUUAUACUUAUACGGUAAUGUAGGCGGUUAGUUUGACACAAUGUAUGUCCAAUAAAAUUUAUAGUUUUUAAUAGUAGGUAAAAUUUAUAUUAAACAAGAAUCGUAGUAGUUUUAGGGAAAUGAAUUGAGGCCGCGAAACUCUUGAGAAAGACUAGGAUUAGAUACCCUAUUAUUUUUGAGUGUAAAUAGCUUGUCUAGAUGCCGGGGGACUACGAGAGGACAGUCUUAAAAUCCAAAAAGCCUGGCGGUGUCUAAGACUCUUCAGGGGAACUUGUCUCUGAAUCGAUGAUCCACGAAGGACCUUACCUUGUUUUGUACUUCUGCUUGCAUACCGUCGUCGUCAGUCUUUGUUAAUAAGAUGAAAGAAGAAGGCGAACAAAAACCAUUGUUUUUAAUGUCAGAUCAGGGUACAGCUAAUAGCAAGGGGGGGGUGAGUUACAAUUAGGAGUUAUAAGACGGAAGAUUUAGGGAAGACAGCUUUAUCUGAAGGAGGACUUGAAAGUAAAGAUAAUUUAUAUAAAUUUCUUGAACAUAGUUAGGACGUGUACAAAUCGCCCGUCGCUUUCAUUGAAAAGUGAAAUAAGUCGUAACAUAGUAGGGGUAACGGAAGUUGUCCCUAGACAA
rnacentral:rRNA from 1 species